rnacentral:rRNA from 1 species
CCCGCAGCUGCGGUAAUUCCAGCUCCAAUAGCGUAUAUUAAAGUUGUUGCGGUAAAAAAGCUCGUAGUUGGAUUUCUGCUGAGGAUGUGCGGUCCGCUCACUGAGCGUGUAUCUUGCUACAGCCUUGGCAUCCUCUCGUUAAUCGUUCCUGCGCUUCAUUGCGUGGGGCGAGUGGCGGGACUUUUACUUUGAGGAAAUUAGAGUGUUCACGGCAGGCUAUCGCCAGAAUACGUUAGCAUGGAAUAAUACUAUAGGAUUUUGGUCCUAUUUUGUUGGUUUCUAGGAUUAAAAUAAUGAUUAAUAGGGACAAUUGGGGGCAUUCGUAUCAACACGUCAGAGGUGGAAUUCUUGGAUUGUGUUGCGACGAACUACUGCGAAAGCAUUUGCCAAGGAUGUUUUCAUUGAUCAAGAACGAAAGU